CACAACUCUCCCUAAGACU
rnacentral:tRNA from 1 species